UUGAGAUCGGAGUGCUUGCACUCUGUGAAACAAGAUACAGGCUAGCGGCGGACGGGUGAGUAACACGUGGGUAACCUGCCCAAGAGAUCGGGAUAACACCUGGAAACAGAUGCUAAUACCGGAUAACAACAGAUGAUGCCUAUCAACUGUUUAAAAGAUGGUUCUGCUAUCACUCUUGGAUGGACCUGCGGUGCAUUAGCUAGUUGGUAGGGUAACGGCCUACCAAGGCGAUGAUGCAUAGCCGAGUUGAGAGACUGAUCGGCCACAUUGGGACUGAGACACGGCCCAAACUCCUACGGGAGGCAGCAGUAGGGAAUCUUCCACAAUGGACGCAAGUCUGAUGGAGCAACGCCGCGUGAGUGAAGAAGGGUUUCGGCUCGUAAAGCUCUGUUGUUGGUGAAGAAGGACAGGGGUAGUAACUGACCUUUGUUUGACGGUAAUCAAUUAGAAAGUCACGGCUAACUACGUGCCAGCAGCCGCGGUAAUACGUAGGUGGCAAGCGUUGUCCGGAUUUAUUGGGCGUAAAGCGAGUGCAGGCGGCUCGAUAAGUCUGAUGUGAAAGCCUUCGGCUCAACCGGAGAAUUGCAUCAGAAACUGUCGAGCUUGAGUACAGAAGAGGAGAGUGGAACUCCAUGUGUAGCGGUGAAAUGCGUAGAUAUAUGGAAGAACACCGGUGUCGAAGGCGGCUCUCUGGUCUGUUACUGAC
rnacentral:rRNA from 1 species